UUGGAUGUGAAUUGAUUUAUGUUUGGAUACACUUAUUUAAAAGUGAUUCAUAUGAGUUGAUGUUGUUUGGAUAGU
rnacentral:pre_miRNA from 1 species